AGUGAACGCUGGCGGUAGGCCUAACACAUGCAAGUCGAACGGCAGCACAGUAAGAGCUUGCUCUUACGGGUGGCGAGUGGCGGACGGGUGAGGAAUACAUCGGAAUCUACUUUUUCGUGGGGGAUAACGUAGGGAAACUUACGCUAAUACCGCAUACGACCUACGGGUGAAAGCAGGGGAUCUUCGGACCUUGCGCGAUUGAAUGAGCCGAUGUCGGAUUAGCUAGUUGGCGGGGUAAAGGCCCACCAAGGCGACGAUCCGUAGCUGGUCUGAGAGGAGGAUCAGCCACACUGGAACUGAGACACGGUCCAGACUCCUGCGGGAGGCAGCAGUGGGGAAUGUUGGACAAUGGGCGCAAGCCUGAUCCAGCGAUACCGCGUGGGUGAAGAAGGCCUUCGGGUUGUAAAGCCCUUUUGUUGGGAAAGAAAAGCAGCAGGUUAAUACCCCGCUGUUCUGACGGUACCCAAAGAAUAAGCACCGGCUAACUUCGUG
rnacentral:rRNA from 1 species